UAUACACUGUUUGUUCACUCAGCUCUAUACACAAAUAGUAUGAAGUUGUCCCUGCUCAUAUGAUACUGUUGUAUUAUUAGCUGAUUACAUAAUACCUUUGAGUACAACUCUAAGGUCAAAUGUAUAGAUAGGCAAAAAAUACGUUGUCAUAUGUGGGACCAUUUCAUCAACCCGUUAACCCCUUACAGUCCAUGCACCUAUUGCAGGGGUGGUUAUUCUACUAAUACUAAUAACUGGACACAUUUUUUCACAAAAGAUUUUUCUUCCAGUAGGUAAAAAAAGUUCCAAUCGCUGCAAGGAGAUCUAGAUUUUCCAGUAGGUAGAAUAUGUAUUUG